rnacentral:tRNA from 1 species
UCUCCGGUAGAUGAGUGGUUUGUAUUCUAGUCUAGUAGACCAGAGGUGGUGGGUUCGAUUCCCACCAGAGGAA